rnacentral:rRNA from 1 species
AUACGUAGGGGGCGAGCGUUGUCCGGAAUGAUUGGGCGUAAAGGGCGCGUAGGCGGCGCGGUAAGUCUGGAGUGAAAGUCCUGCUUUCAAGGUGGGAAUUGCUUUGGAUACUGCCGCGCUUGAGUGCAGGAGAGGUUAUCGGAAUUCUCGGUGUAGCGGUGAAAUGCGUAGAGAUCGGGAGGAACACCAGUGGCGAAGGCGGGUAACUGGACUGCAACUGACGCUGAGGCGCGAAAGUGUGGGGAGCAAACAGGAUUAGAUACCCUGGUAGUCCACACUGUAAACGAUGAAUGCUAGGUGUAAGAGGUAUCGACCCCUUUUGUGCCGGAGUCAACACAAUAAGCAUUCCGCCUGGGGAGUACGGCCGCAAGGUUGAAACUCAAAUGAAUUGACGGGG